AUUCCUCUUUGUUCUGUUGUUGUGAUAAAUAGCCAACUUGAAAAAGUUGAAGGAAGGAAAGUUUUUGUUUCCUGUAAUGUUCAAAGUGUCGAUGAGGAGACGCUGUACACAGAGGCAACAAGCUUAUUUAUUACACUGGAUCCUAAUAAAAAACUGACUUAGAAGAGCUUCUGGUGAAUUCUACCUCGUGUUUUGAGGCUUUCCCUUCUCCAGAAGAGAGGUGUCCCAAAUCCUGCAUGCUCACACUGACAGUGCUCCGGGGAAGCCUGCUGACACUGACCUUCUGGAACUGCCUUCUGAGCACCUCUCCCGGAGCCCCCUUUCCACCUUCUGACUUUUUUAACAGGAAAUACUCCCCAUGAGAGUAUCAGUGAUUCUCUGUAACUCCUUAGGAUACCUGUGUGGUGCUCCUCAGAUUUGAAUGGGCUCUUUAAAGUUACACAACCAUGACAUCUGCCCCAUCUCAGACUGAAGAAAAAAAUGUGUGUUAAAACUUGCACUGCAAACUUGGAAGUGCUAGAAAACCGAACAAGGAAGAAAUAUGUGGGGUUGUGUGUAGGUGUGCACAUGUGUACAUAUAUACAUACAUUGUAAAUUACAAGGCCAUCUUUGUUGUAUCUGAUCAAACAAAUCUUUUUUGGCCAGAAUGGGAAACACAACUGGUUCCUGUAAGAAUGGACACGUCAGAUCUCUUGCCUAGAGUUUCAGGGAUUAAACUGUACCUUUUUU